GACGAACGCUGGCGGCGUGCUUAACACAUGCAAGUCGAACGAUGAAGCCUAGCUUGCUAGGUGGAUUAGUGGCGAACGGGUGAGUAAUACGUGAGUAACCUACCUUUAACUCUGGGAUAAGCCUGGGAAACUGGGUCUAAUACCGGAUACGACCAAUCUCCGCAUGGGGUGUUGGUGGAAAGCGUUAUGUAGUGGUUAUAGAUGGGCUCACGGCCUAUCAGCUUGUUGGUGAGGUAACGGCUCACCAAGGCGACGACGGGUAGCCGGCCUGAGAGGGUGACCGGCCACACUGGGACUGAGACACGGCCCAGACUCCUACGGGAGGCAGCAGUGGGGAAUAUUGCACAAUGGGCGCAAGCCUGAUGCAGCGACGCCGCGUGAGGGAUGACGGCCUUCGGGUUGUAAACCUCUGUUAGCAGGGAAGAAGAGAGAUUGACGGUACCUGCAGAGAAAGCGCCGGCUAACUACGUGCCAGCAGCCGCGGUAAUACGUAGGGCGCGAGCGUUGUCCGGAUUAUUGGGCGUAAGAGCUUGUAGGCGGUUUGUCGCGUCUGCUGUGAAAGGCCGGAGCUUAACUCCGUGUAUUGCAGUGGGUACGGGCAGACUAGAGUGCAGUAGGGGAGACUGGAAUUCCUGGUGUAGCGGUGGAAUGCGCAGAUAUCAGGAGGAACACCGAUGGCGAAGGCAGGUCUCUGGGCUGUAACUGACGCUGAGAAGCGAAAGCAUGGGGAGCGAACAGGAUUAGAUACCCUGGUAGUCCAUGCCGUAAACGUUGGGCACUAGGUGUGGGGGACAUUCCACGUUUUCCGCGCCGUAGCUAACGCAUUAAGUGCCCCGCCUGGGGAGUACGGCCGCAAGGCUAAAACUCAAAGAAAUUGACGGGGGCCCGCACAAGCGGCGGAGCAUGCGGAUUAAUUCGAUGCAACGCGAAGAACCUUACCAAGGCUUGACAUAUACUGGACCGCAUCAGAGAUGGUGUUUCCCUUCGGGGCUGGUAUACAGGUGGUGCAUGGUUGUCGUCAGCUCGUGUCGUGAGAUGUUGGGUUAAGUCCCGCAACGAGCGCAACCCUCGUUCUAUGUUGCCAGCACGUUAUGGUGGGGACUCAUAGGAGACUGCCGGGGUCAACUCGGAGGAAGGUGGGGAUGACGUCAAAUCAUCAUGCCCCUUAUGUCUUGGGCUUCACGCAUGCUACAAUGGCCGGUACAGAGGGUUGCGAUACUGUGAGGUGGAGCUAAUCCCUAAAAGCCGGUCUCAGUUCGGAUUGGGGUCUGCAACUCGACCCCAUGAAGUCGGAGUCGCUAGUAAUCGCAGAUCAGCAACGCUGCGGUGAAUACGUUCCCGGGCCU
rnacentral:rRNA from 1 species